rnacentral:rRNA from 1 species
AUUGAACGCUGGCGGCAGGCCUAACACAUGCAAGUCGAACGGUAACAGGAAUAAGCUUGCUUCUUUGCUGACGAGUGGCGGACGGGUGAGUAAUGUCUGGGAAACUUCCUGAUGGAGGGGGAUAACUACUGGAAACGGUAGCUAAUACCGCAUAACGUCGCAAGACCAAAGAGGGGGACCUUCGGGCCUCUUGCCAUCGGAUGUGCCCAGAUGGGAUUAGCUAGUAGGUGGGGUAACGGCUCACCUAGGCGACGAUCCCUAGCUGGUCUGAGAGGAUGACCAGCCACACUGGAACUGAACCACGGUCCAGACUCCUACGGGAGGCAGCAGUGGGGAAUAUUGCACAAUGGGCGCAAGCCUGAUGCAGCCAUGCCGCGUGUAUGAAGAAGGCCUUCGGGUUGUAAAGUACUUUCAGCGGUGAGGAAGGGAGUAAAGUUAAUACCUUUGCUCAUUGACGUUACCCGCAGAAGAAGCACCGGCUAACUCCGUG